CAUAUACGGUGUAAUUUUGACAGUUUGCGGCCCCUUACGUCACUAGAGUUUCGACGAGCCUCGCGCUUCCGCGAUUCGACAGUGCCUUUUGGUGUGCCUUUGUAGUUGCUGGAAGAGAUACACCCGUGCAUCUCGGGACAUGCUUAAGUGUUUAUUGUUCGUUGUGGGAUUUUCUCUCCGUACCUAGUCGAUCGGUUGGAUUUUACCGGAACUUGCUCGCCCAAGACCACGAUUACUUCAUUGCGUGUAUCUCGUCCACCGACUAUUUCGUUGAACUCAGUGUCGUUUCCUAUCACGAAUUCGCUUUCUCGUGCACCAUUUUUCUAUUUUUUUUUUUCACUCUUCAUCGAUCACCGAAGAUAUCGACAGUACCGUCGAGAUGUCCGCGGUCUUUGCGAACUACGAAAAGAGAGAAAAGAUCGAUCGGGAUAUCUCACCGACGACGUUCGAGCCACCGCCACCGAUCGGGAGCGGAGUUCCUCUGGUUUCUGGUUUCUGGUUCUGGUUCCCGCGACUCGAGCUUGCACGGGUGAGACAUUUUGCGUUUCUGCGCCGAGCACAUGCGUGCCAGAAGCAAGAUACGACACGGUAUGCCUACUCGAGACUCUAUCCUAACCGCGUCCAAGCUCGCCGCCGGUAUAUUUUAGUAUCACUCUGCAUCUAUUUGACCGGUGCAGUGAAAACCGGGGGGGAUCGUGGUCGGACGGGCCGGCCCGACCCAGUUCUCGCGAAGCUUGGACGCGGAAAGAUCCGGGCACGUGUUUACCGAGCGAGAGACCCGUGGCUCGCGUUCGUUUCUCUCUCCGAGGUCCUCUCGCGCGGUUAUUAGCGUGUAGUCUGGGAGCCGUCUGCGGGUCGACGUCCGCCGCCCCAGAAAUAGAAGCGCCGCGACGCUCGUUACAUUCCGUCACCUACGAUCCCGCUGACCAACCCCUCGCGGCGACCGAUUCGCCGUUUCCGAGAUGCUCUCUCCUGCGCGCGGUUCUUCGAUUUAAAACGGUCGGGCGUGCGCGCGCGAUCGCAGUUUCAGACCGCCGAAACGCGACCGCGCAUCGAUCAUACGCGACUCCGCUUCCGGCGCGGGGCUCUGGCCUCCUCGUCAAAUCUCGAUAUCACUCCUCUCCUCUUGCUGGAAAUCGACGAUAGAUCCCGCGGAACGUUGGUUACCACGAAGCUGGUUAACGGUCACCCUCUUAACUCGAAGGGCAGGUGCGUAGUCCGGUUUGCAAGGGAAAAGGGCAGCUGCUCGUCUUAGACGGUGUUCACGAAGGAGGGGGAAGGAAGACGAGGAGCGUGGAAGGAAGGGAUGCGGUUCGCUGCUAAGGUAAACGAUAUAAUGGGGUCGUAACAGUGGGUCCUUUUCAGAAGCAGAUGUCCUGCUUGAGACACGUGCCCAUCCCGAGCCCCCUUUUUUUCAGGGCCCCCGGUCCUUCUUUCUUCGCCGCGAUUAGAACGGGAGCUGGAAACCUCGAAUCUCCUGCUCUAUCCGUCCUCCUUUUUGCUCCUCCGUCUUUCCCUCUCCUUCCGUUUUGUUUUUCUCCUUUCUUCUGCUCGUGCGUUUUUUUUUUCUUUCUUCUUCCUCUUCUCUCAUCCGAACGAACGCGGGGAGCGGCGGCGAGGCUCCAGCUGCUGGUCUCGUUAUAGCGGAUCGCACCGGUGUAACAACGGACUGAAACCAUCUAUUGUGCCCGCGAAACUCGUCUAGCGAGACCCGCGUGUCGACCUUACCGAUAUCUAGAGGAACCGGGAGACACCCCGUGAAGCUCCUCGAGCCUCUCUUCCCGUUGCGGCACGGGAAAGAGAAUCGAGGAGUUCGCGGAGCCGGUUUCGCUCGGUCGACGCUCGAGUUCGAUGGAUCGAAGAUAGAAGACCCCGGAGAGGCAAAUUCUU